rnacentral:lncRNA from 1 species
UCCUAGAUAGACCCUUAUAUAUUUCCUCUUUUUAAUCAGCAAAUUAUUUUUAACUUCCAUAACAUCCAACAUAUUUCCAAAAAAAAUUCUACUCAGAUAAUCUGCAGAAUGCAAUCCAUUCUUCAAGAUACAUUAGCAAAAUUGUUAGAUCAUAGUCUCAGAAAAAAAAGAGGUAUGGUCACACUCUCAUCCCUUCUGCUUAUAUCACAUAAUCAUCAUUCAACAAUAAUUUUACAAGACGACAUUCAACUUUUGGGUCUGACCCAUGAUGCACUUUCUCAGUAGCUCUCUUAUCAAGACGUUAGGACGAUCGAACAUGCAAGACGGCCCACAAAUCGAAGGCAUGGAAACAACUCCAGCAACUUGCAUCCAAUAUACGCCUGCGACGCCCAAACGAUCGAUCAAAGGCACAAAGAAACGUCCAACAAACUGAAGACACGACAUCAACACCAUCAACCUUAGGUAAUAUCCACAUGCAAUUCUUCACGUAUGUCAGCAUUUGAUCUCAGCUCAACCUUGCUUCUAAUCUUCUAUGUCAAAACCCUACUGAGACUGAACUGUAAACCAUGUUUUUUCCAUGCAUUCACACACUACCAAAACAAUAUUGAUCUCCAGAUGUACUGUAUAUGAGACCUCUAUUAUUAGUCUCUAUAUCUCCAAAUGCACUUACAUGUCUGAAGUGGCACACUAUUAAGAAAACUCUAUAUGUCACCGACGAAAUCAAAUUUCCGGAGAUGACAGUCCAACAUACGUAAGCGCUAGCAGCUCACCAUACAAAAACAAAGAAAGAUCAAGCUCUAAACUCAAGGAUCACAAAGCGGACAAGGGGUGCAGAGGGAAGAAAUACAAACAGAGGCUCCUAAACAAUUGAGAAAGGAUAAUGCUCAAGAAGAUAAGGAAUUGAAGCAUACAAGAAGAGAAAGCAACAAAAUUAACAUUAGAAUCAAUGUUGGAGACAACAAUAGAACCACAACCUCAACAAGUGCUAAUAGAAAGACAUGGAACUUCGAAAGGCCAACAUACAAAUGCUAAUAUUGCAAAUCGUUGCUAUGGUGUGAAGAAAGAUUAAAUUCAAGAAAGGAACUACGAAAUCCACUUUUGGAAUAUGUUGCAAACAGGGAAAAAUCAAUCUGCCACCACUAAGAGAGCCUCCACCAUACCUCAGAAACCUCUUAAGAAGUGAAGGGCGGGAUUAUAAGGUCAAAGAACUCAAUGUCUUCAUUCACAUCAAUUGGAGGAGUUCUGGACAAGGAAAUAAAAACGCGCAAAGAACUUUCUGUUUUUCGUUUGCAUGGGCAGAACCACCAUCACAUCAGAACUCUUUUACCUGAAGGUACAGACAAACCUCGGUUCACACAGCUGUACAUCUAUAAUAAUUUAAAUGAGGUGGCAAAUAGGAUAAGUGCGUCAAGAUGCAAUGAUGAUACAUUAACAGUGGACCCCAACAUCGUCAAAGAAUUGCAAAAUAAUGCUCGACGACAACAACAUCCUUGCAAAAACAAGGUAGGAAUAUAUUUGCCUAAGCAAGCAUUCUGCCAUGGACAACUGUACGUGGCAUUAUCAAGAGUGACAAAUAAGGAAGGAUUGAAGGUGCUGAUCAAUGACAAAGAGUGUCCAACUGAAGAUGCCGCAAAGAAUAUUUUUUAUAAAGAGACAUUCUAAUUUACAAUGUAGUUCAUCAAGUCAACAAAACUAGAAUUUUGCGUAGACAAUGCAUGUGUAAUUACAUAGAGUGGAAGACAACCUAACCAUAUAUAUACAUAUGUCUGAUCUUUCCAUAAAAUAUUAUCCCUGAAUAUUUUUAUCUCUCUUCUAUCAUCAUUUAAAAAAAAUUGAACCAUGAAUAUUUUUACAUAGCUACAUACCUCCGUUUCGAAAUAUAAGCCUUUUUAGAGAUUUCAAUAGGGACUACAUAUGGAUGUAUAUAGACGCAUUUUAGAGUGUAGAUUCACUCAUUUUGCUCCGUAUGUAUUCCAUAUUAUAAUCUCUAAAAAAACUUAUAUUUAGAAACGGAGGGAGUUUUAGAGUGUAGAUUCACUGAUUUUGCUCCGUAUGUAGUCUGUAUUGGAAUCUCUUAAAAAACUUAUAUUUAGGAACGGAGGGACUACUAUAUUUGAUCGUUCUAGAGAAAGUUCACAAAUAAAUUCCACCUAAAUAGUGAUUACUAAUAUCUCUCGCACUAACACUCUCAUCACUCUUACGAAUAGUCUCUCUAAAAAAAUAGGCAUCAACAUAGCCUCCUCAACCAAAUAAAUGUAUGUGUAUUCACAUAUAUAAAUGUUAACAAGUACAGACAAGACAAUGAAUUAUUCAAAGAUUAUAGGUGUUAUAGGCAGUAGACACAACAAUGAAGUAUCGAACACCUUUUGCUAUAUGGAAUUUCAUAUAAUUAAUACGGAUGUGUUGAAGAGAUAAUCUGAGUUGAAGCGACGAUCUAAGUUGGGCAGAAUGUCAACUGAAAAAAGUUAAUUCCCCAAAACAACUGAAGGUAAGCAAAAAGGCAGGGGGAUAUGAGUAACUCUGACAUGAAUUGAGGCAGUCUUUGCUCGCUUGAUCCUAAAAAAACUCGCAUAUUGGUCACCUGUCUGCAUUUGUCCUUCUUCCCGGCUUCUGAGUAGUACCUGACCGUAGAACACCCUCUCCCUCUGGCGAGCAUGAAAAUUAUGAGUAAGAAGAAACCAUGCAAAGAUAAAAAAAAAAGGUAGAGAAAGGUGAGGAGAAGAUAAGCAUCUCCUUAUCUGCACCAGGAAGGGGAUAACAGGAGACCACGAGCCGAUUUCUCAUAAAGAAUCCAAAAUCCACG